CCUACGGGUGGCAGCAGUGGGGAAUAUUGCACAAUGGGGGAAACCCUGAUGCAGCGACGCCGCGUGAGUGAAGAAGUAUUUCGGUAUGUAAAGCUCUAUCAGCAGGGAAGAAAAUGACGGUACCUGAUUAAGAAGCCCCGGCUAACUACGUGCCAGCAGCCGCGGUAAUACGUAGGGGGCAAGCGUUAUCCGGAUUUACUUGGUUGAAAGGGAGCGUAGGCGGCAGCACAAGUCUGGAGGGAAAUGCCGGGGCUUAACCCCGGAACUGCUUUGGAAACUGGGCAGCUAGAGUGCAGGAGAGGUAAGUGGAAUGCCGAGUGUAGCGGUGAAAUGCGUAGAUAUUAGGAGGAACACCAGUGGCGAAGGCGGCUUACUGGAGUGUAACUGACGUUGAGGCUCGAAAGCGUGGGGAGCAAACAGGAUUAGAUACCCUGGUAGUC
rnacentral:rRNA from 1 species